GCCAGCAUGGUGUAGUGGUUUGAGCAUUGGACUAUGACUCUGGAGACCAGGGUUCAAAUCCUUGCUGAGCC